rnacentral:lncRNA from 1 species
AGCAUCAAGGUGGAGCUGAACAGAGGCAGAAGGAGGAGGACCCAAGGUGGUGUCACUCAGGACCCGGGUUCAAGUCCUUAUGCUUCUGCAGCCUGGCCUGGGUCCCCCAACUCCCCCAGGGUGACCAAGGGCUUCCCAGUCUGCACAGAGGACAGGGGGUCUUGACAGCAUCAAAUGCUAGUGACUACGAGACACUUACGUGGGAAAUGCAGACAGACCAUGCCUCUAGCCCUUGGCACCAGGCACCAUCCAUCCCUGGGACUUGCUGUCCUGGAAAUGCAGCAUGGUCCUCCAGGGAGGGGGGCUGUGCCAUGUGGGGGCCCCACCCCACCUGCAGCUCUUUCCCACCCUGGCUGCAGGUCUGCUUCCCUGAAUCCAAAUCCGCUACUACUGUGCUGGCAGCGCAGCCUCUCUGGGGACACUGGCCUGGCUCUGUUCUCCCCAGGCCUCAGGGUGCCUAAAUGGGAGGCAACCAAGAGGUAGGCUGUUCCCACGGCUGCCUCUCACGGUAGGGGGGCCUGCGGACGCCUCCUCCCGCCCCCACCCGACUCCCAAGCCUCAGUGACAUUGCUCAACCAGGAGCUGAAGUGCAUUCCUGGGCUCAGGCCAGCCCACCCACCGACCCGCUGCAGUCCUGGAAGCCCAGAGGCCUGGGCAGCAGGAACAGUGGAGACAGCAGUGUGGGGGACGUCCCCCUCCUCUCCCCACCAUCCUCGUCAGGCAGAGGCCAGGGUGCAGGGACCGCCCGAGCAAAGGCCCAGGGAAAUGAAUGGGUGUCAUUCUGGUCCUGACCCGAGGCACAGCCAGGAAGGUCCCUGUGGGGAAAAGAAAGAGAUAUCAGACUGUUACUGUG